GUGGGGAAUCUUCCGCAAUGGACGAAAGUCUGACGGAGCGACGCCGCGUGAGUGAUGAAGGCCUUCGGGUCGUAAAGCUCUGUCAUCGGGGACGAACGGCCUCAGCAGGUAAUGGCUGGGGAUUGACGGUACCCGAGAAGGAAGCCACGGCUAACUACGUGCCAGCAGCCGCGGUAAUACGUAGGUGGCAAGCGUUGUCCGGAAUUAUUGGGCGUAAAGCGCGCGCAGGUGGGAUCUUAAGUCCAUUUUGAAAGUUCGGAGCUCAACUCCGUGAUGGGAUGGAAACUGGGAUUGUUGAGUACCGGAGAGGAAAGCGGAAUUCCCCGUGUAGCGGUGAAAUGCGUAGAUAUGGGGAGGAACACCAGUGGCGAAGGCGGCUUUCUGGACGGUGUCUGACACUGAGGCGCGAAAGCCAGGGGAGCGAACGGGAUUAGAAACCCUAGUAGUCC
rnacentral:rRNA from 1 species